rnacentral:rRNA from 1 species
UGAGACAGGUGCUGCAUGGCUGUCGUCAGCUCGUGUUGUGAAAUGUUGGGUUAAGUCCCGCAACGAGCGCAACCCUUAUCCUUUGUUGCCAGCGGUUCGGCCGGGAACUCAAAGGAGACUGCCAGUGAUAAACUGGAGGAAGGUGGGGAUGACGUCAAGUCAUCAUGGCCCUUACGAGUAGGGCUACACACGUGCUACAAUGGCAUAUACAAAGAGAAGCGACCUCGCGAGAGCAAGCGGACCUCAUAAAGUAUGUCGUAGUCCGGAUUGGAGUCUGCAACUCGACUCCAUGAAGUCGGAAUCGCUAGUAAUCGUGGAUCAGAAUGCCACGGUGAAUACGUUCCCGGGCCUUGUACACACCGCCCGUCACACCAUGGGAGUGGGUUGCAAAAGAAGUAGGUAGCUUAACCUUCGGGAGGGCGCUUACCACUUUGUGAUUCAUGACUGGGGUGAAGUCGUAACAAGGUAACCGUAGGGGAACCUGCGGUUGGAUCACCUCCUUA